CGUUGACGUCCCGAAGGUUUCAAGAAGCAAAAGUCGCUACUUGUCUGGGACAUGUUCAAAGCGCACUUGUCAGGCAGUUGCAAAGCAAGGAAGCUGAAGUAAUACCAACCCCUAGCACCGACAGAGAAAGAGAAAAGAAACAAAUCACACAUGCAAUAGAAGCAAGCAACAACAGAAUUCCGAACCGUACUGAGUCCUGAAAUCCAAAUCUUCGAAGCAGCUUGGAGUAGGCCCAAAGCCUCAGUAUUCAGCUCAUCAUGUUAGUGAGGCAAGUUGCCACAAAGUUCACAGACAAGAUGUACAGCAGCCAGGGGCAGUGCCAUGGAGAGAGGAGCCCCCUGUCUAUCUGGGCCAGUGUUUAAAUUGUCUGAAGCUUGCACUAGGAACUGGGCCCCAGCAUGGCAAAUUGCUCCAGCCAGAUUUGCUGCCAGAGAAGCUAUUCUCAACCUCUCCAGUUCAGCCUGGCACUUAAAGUGAUCCAACUUCAUCCAACUCUCAAUACCAUGUCUUUCCAGUCUCUCCGGGCCAGUGUUUAGAUUCUCCAAACAGUGAUUCACUUCAGACCUGGAUUUCGCUGCCAAAGAAGCCAUUCUCAACCUCACCAAAUCAGCUUAGCACUUGAGAGAUCCGUGCUCGCACCCAGACGAGGCAGCAUCUCAUAACACAAAACCAUGAUAUGGACCAUUUCCAAGGAACGUGACUCUCCUGCAACACAGGUUGUCUAUACUCACCG